GGUGAAUCCUGAGGUUGUUGGAGAUAUAAAAAAAUUGGCUUAAGAUUUGUGGGAAAAGAUGAAAGUGCUUGACAAUGGAGAACUUCCAAGCUAUCCAUUCUAUGUGGGAGUACAGUUCAUCCUGAAUAUAAAUCGCGACCUGGGAAGUGUUCGACCCUAUUUAUUGGUUAUGUGGUUUCAAGACGAAGAUGCCAUCAUGUGUUGUAUCCACGGUACUACGGCAAAAGAUUAGUUCAUGGUGCAACAUUCCCCAACUAUUUGGUUUCAAUGUUAGGGAUCUACAUCUACUACAAAUUCACAGCACUUUAAAGCUUAAAUG